rnacentral:rRNA from 1 species
UACGAAGGGGGCUAGCGUUGCUCGGAAUUACUGGGCGUAAAGGGCGCGUAGGCGGACAGUUUAGUCAGAGGUGAAAGCCCGGAGCUUAACUCCGGAACUGCCUUUAAGACUGCAUCGCUAGAAUCGUGGAGAGGUGAGUGGAAUUCCGAGUGUAGAGGUGAAAUUCGUAGAUAUUCGGAAGAACACCAGUGGCGAAGGCGACUCACUGGACACGUAUUGACGCUGAGGUGCGAAAGCGUGGGGAGCAAACAGG